UCGGAUGUGGUGCAUGGUGCCCGUCUGCCGAAUAUGAUAGAAAUCUCGUAUAAGUGGAAGCAGACGAGCGGGGUUCGACUCCCCGCAUCCGAA